AUCCAAACUGUUAUAUAGUAGCAUGCGACAUUGGAUGCAAAUUUAUCUAAACAUUUCAAUAGAAGUUUCGUGCAAAAAAGGUUUCUAGAAUUCAGAAAUCUUAUAGCGCUUUCGAAGGUUUAUAGCAGUUUAGAUAGAAUGUUUGACGAAAAUAAAACCGAGUGUCGAAUUGACGAAAGGAGGAUACUCUUCUGUCGAUGAUUCAUCUCAUCGACUAUUAUGUGUGAUGAAUUAUUCCCACUUCUUGACGUUACCGGUUCUACCAUGACUAGAGGAGCCGCAAUUUUUUAAAACAAGAUUCGCUCGAGAUUUGACUUGUUGAUCAGUGACGACUGACGUGACUGUUGGCUCACUUGGCUGUCGUUCAGCAAUGCUCACUUGUGGGCCAUCCUUUCGUAUCUUUGAGGCAUGGGGGAGUUGAGCCUGCUCCAGCUACCCGGCCAGCAUCAUUCGACUACAUAGCCGACUUGUACUACCCCAGCUGGUUAAAGUUUCAAGCCAGAUUUAAGCAAAUAAAAUUUCCAACUUCAACUACUGAUCUUCAGCUUUAUACAUCCCAAAAGGUUUGGAGGCAUGUCACUGAUAAGCGAAUCAUACAGUUUUACUACUCUUCUCUCUAUUUGUUGGUGUAUCUGAAGCAGUGAUCAAGGUGGUGAAAUUCUAUUGGUGCCAAUCCCUGCUAUUUCCGUUUACCAAUAGGAGAAACACCAUAAACCACCCAUGACAGAUAGAGGCAAAGUUAAUUUAAGCAAAAGCAUCAUCAACA
rnacentral:lncRNA from 1 species